GCUGCAGUUGUUGAAGUCAUGGUGGGGAACUCUAGUUCAAGCAAUUGUUCUUCAGGGAAACUUUUUACUUGGGGAGAUGGGGAUAAAGGUCGACUUGGGCAUGGUGACAAGGAGUCAAAACUUGUUCCUACUUGUGUUGCAGCUCUUGUUGAACCCAAUUUUUGCCAGGUUACUUGUGGACAUAGCUUGACAGUUGCUUUAACCACUUCAGGUCAUGUAUAUACAAUGGGAAGUCCUGUAUAUGGUCAAU
rnacentral:misc_RNA from 1 species